rnacentral:ribozyme from 1 species
UUCGUCUUAUCAUCUUUUCUCUUGAUUCCGAAGCCUCUUGAUGGUUUUAUAGACUCUCUAUUCAACUUCCAUUCCGUUAUAUCCUUGUUGUUUAUAUCGGCAACAUGGACCACCGUAUGCUCAAGCUUUGGUAUGGAGGAUUUUACCAACUCCUUGUUCCGACAGUAGUACAUGGAGGUAUCUGGG